rnacentral:rRNA from 1 species
GACGAACGCUGGCGGCGUGCUUAACACAUGCAAGUCGAACGGAAAGGCCCUGCUUUUGUGGGGUGCUCGAGUGGCGAACGGGUGAGUAACACGUGAGUAACCUGCCCUUGACUUUGGGAUAACUUCAGGAAACUGGGGCUAAUACCGGAUAGGAGCUCCUGCUGCAUGGUGGGGGUUGGAAAGUUUCGGCGGUUGGGGAUGGACUCGCGGCUUAUCAGCUUGUUGGUGGGGUAGUGGCUUACCAAGGCUUUGACGGGUAGCCGGCCUGAGAGGGUGACCGGCCACAUUGGGACUGAGAUACGGCCCAGACUCCUACGGGAGGCAGCAGUGGGGAAUAUUGCACAAGGGGCGGAAGCCUGAUGCAGCACCGCCGCGUGCGGGAUGAGGGCCUUCGGGUUGUAAACCGCUUUCGCCUGUGACGAAGCGUGAGUGACGGUAAUGGGUAAAGAAGCACCGGCUAACUACGU